GAAGGGGGCGAGCGUUGUUCGGAAUCACUGGGCGUAAAGAGCGUGUAGGUGGCUAUUUAAGUCAGUUGUUAAAGACCACGGCCUAACUGUGGAAAGGCGAUUGAUACUGUAUAGCUGGAGGGCAGGAGAGAGAAGUGGAAUUCUCGGAGUAGCGGUAAAACUGCGUAGAUCUCGAGAGGAACACCAAUUGCGAAGGCAGCUUCUUGGCCUGUUCCUGACACUCAAACGCGAAAGCGUGGGGAGCAAACAGGGAUUAGAUACCCUGGUAGUCCACGCCGUAAACGAUGAUCACUAGAUGUGGGUUGUGCUUGCACGAUCCGUGUCGAAGCUAACGCGUUAAGUGAUCCGCCUGGGAGUACGGUCGCAAGCUA
rnacentral:rRNA from 1 species